rnacentral:rRNA from 1 species
UGGGGAAUAUUGGACAAUGGGGGAAACCCUGAUCCAGCGAUGCCGCGUGUAUGAUGAAGGUCUUCGGAUUGUAAAGUACUUUUAUUGGUGACGAUGAUGACGGUAACCAAUGAAUAAGCUCCGGCUAACUUCGUGCCAGCAGCCGCGGUAAUACGAAGGGAGCUAGCGUUGUUCGGAAUAACUGGGCGUAAAGGGUGCGUAGGUGGGUAUGUGCGUUAGAUGUGAAAUCCCCGGGCUUAACCUGGGAACGGCAUUUAAUACGGCAUAUCUAGAGUGCGAGAGGGGAAGGCGGAAUGGCGAGUGGAGCAGUGAAAUGCAUUGAGAUUCGCUAGAACACCAGAGGCGAAGGCGGCUUUCUGGCUCGCUACUGACACUAAGGCACGAAAGCGUGGGGAGCAAA